rnacentral:rRNA from 1 species
UACAGAGGUCUCAAGCGUUGUUCGGAUUCAUUGGGCGUAAAGGGUGUGUAGGUGGCGCGCUAAGUCGGGUGUGAAAUUUCGGAGCUUAACUCCGAAACUGCAUUCGAUACUGGCGUGCUUGAGGACUGGAGAGGAGACUGGAAUUCAUGGUGUAGCAGUGAAAUGCGUAGAUAUCUGGAGGAACACCGGUGGCGAAGGCGGCAUCCUGGACCGAUACUGACGCUGAGGAGCGAAAGCCAGGGGAGCAAACGGG